UGACCCUCUAAACCGAGGGUCACCUAGCCAACUGACGUUGUUAGUGAACCCUGUUGUUCACAUUGAUUGUGCCAAGUGCAGAUUGCACUUGGCUUUUUUUUG
rnacentral:sRNA from 1 species